rnacentral:lncRNA from 1 species
AUGUUGAUUAACACCGAAUAUGAAGACAAUCUCAAACAGGCAACCAAAGCACUUCGUGACUUUGGCGUAAACUUCAGACGCAGCCCCCUUUCCUGUCUUCACAACAAGGAAAUAAGUUGAGUUUCAGAGAAACCAGCUGCUAAGAGCACACCAGGCCUUCCGGCCCUGGUCCCUGCUUGGCUUGGGCCUUUGUGCGGCUGCUGGUGUGCCCUGAACCAGCUGUUUGUGGACGUUGGGGACCAGAGACCUGUGGCCCAUUUGCCUCAAUAUCAUCUGCACAUCCCCAGGACAUUCACCAGAGUGGUGAGCGCAGGCUGCUGGGUCAGAGACCUGCGUUCAAAUCCUGACGUGCCACGCAGGCCACGUGAUUUUGAUCAUGACAUUAACC